ACUCGAGUUUUCAUCUCACUGAAAAUUCAAAAUCAAAAUCAAAACCAGCUGAGAUAGUUACUCGGGUGCCUUCCUUCAGCUUAUUCAAAAGAACACAGAAUGAACGGCUUUAAGACAUGUCAUGGAAAAUGUUAAGAGAAGACGGUCUCUUCUUCUGUGUUGGUGCCUGUUAAUUUCACACCUUGAAGAGAGUCCUCAUAUCAACAAUGAAGCGUCUAUUUUUAAGACACUGAAUUAAAGAUUAUUUAUGAAGAGGUAACAACAACAAAAAAGUCAAAACGGAGUGUCACUCUGGCAUCGACAUGGUGUUCCUGAUUGCUCUUGACUAGGAUUUUUAAAGGCUUAAUGUGGUUCCUGCACAACCUUUAUAAGAAUGCGGCAGCACUGCUCCAAGAAAGUACUCGGGGGGCAAGAACGGAUGGAGACAGCAACCCCAGAGGAGUGGGACAUGGACAAUGGCGAGGUAGCAGAGUGCAGCUCUGUCCAGAGAAAGCUGUGUCCACCCACCACCUGCACAGGGGAUGCCAUGUUGCUGGACACAGAGACCCAUGGAACCCGCCAGAGCAGCAAAAUGACAAAGAGCCCUCCUGUCCUGCUGAGCGGUGACCAGUUACCCAGGAAGAGCCUUCCUCCCAGAGCUGCUGGGCUUGGAAGGGGCGACUCUCAAAUCACGCUCCUCCCCCUGCCCUGCCCCACCUGCGUCUCAGAGGGCCACGCUGUUGCCCCAUCCCACCGCCCUUGCCAUCCAUUGAGCCACUCAAGGAUUCCAUUAUGCAUUCGAAUGAUAUAUCUCAAACUGUACCUUCAAGUUUGGAAGACUAUGAGACUGGAUAUGCGUGUGAUUCGUUACAGUCGUCCACAGAGGGUAUUUUCUUUGUUCCAAAGUUCUGCCAGCUCACAACAUCAGAAGUGA
ensembl:lncRNA